GUGCGGAAGGAUCAUUGUUAAAUUGAGUCAACGACUGAGAAUUUGUUAAUCACAUGGGAUAUCAUGCCAACAAAGAUUCAAUCGUGAUGGUGAGAGCUUUCUCUUGAUUUGCUUGUUUGUUGCAUGGACAUAGCCAUGCCAUCACUUCAUAAGAUGUUGGUGGGAGUUGGCAAACGAUUGUGGGCACGGCAUGUGUCAAGGAUAAAAAAUCGCUCAUUGCGAUGUGGCUUUAGUUUGGGAAUGCAAAGUAUACGACUCUCGACAACGGAUAUCUAGGCUCUUGCAUCGAUGAAGAACGCAGCGAAAUGCGAUACUUGGUGUGAAUUGCAGAAUCCCGCGAACCAUCGAGUCUUUGAACGCAAGUUGCGCUCGAGACCUUUUGGUUGCGAGCACGCCUGCCUGGGCGUCACCCCUUAUGUUGCUCUAUCCAACCAAUGCAUCUUGUGCAAUUGGUCUAUCGAUGGAGGCGAAGAUUGGUUCACCGUGCUUUUAAUAGUUGUUGUGAGCUGAAGUAUGAGACGCCGAUGGAGCAUGAUGAGUACACGACAAGUUGUGGGCAGAAUAAUUUUUUGGAUGCUUUCGAUGUCGUUCUCUCCACGGCAUAUGCUCGCACCUAGCGUGCCGCAGGGACCUUUGAAUGCAAUUGAUGUUCUCCCUGUGCACCCCAGGUCAGACGGGA
rnacentral:rRNA from 1 species